GAUGAAGAACGUAGCGAAAUGCGAUAAGUAAUGUGAAUUGCAGAAUUCAGUGAAUCAUCGAAUCUUUGAACGCAUCUUGCGCUCCUUGGUAUUCUGAGGAGCAUGCCUGUUUGAGUGUCAUUUCAAGUUCUCAACCACAUCAAUUUCAAUGUGGCUUGGAUGGUGGGGGUUCUUUUUGCAGGCUUCUGUAAAUAUGAAGUCGGCUCCCCUGAAAUGUAUUAGUGGUAUCUGAGCUACUACAGGUGUGAUAACUAUCUAUGCCUUGGUAUGCUGCAUGAAACAGAUUGCGCCGCUUCUAACAAGUGGGAAACACAGUUUUGAUGAAUUUGACCUCAAAUCAGGUAGGACUACCCGCUGAACUUAAGCAUAUCAAUAAGCGGAGGA
rnacentral:misc_RNA from 1 species